CCUACGGGUGGCAGCAGUGAGGAAUAUUGGUCAAUGGACGAGAGUCUGAACCAGCCAAGUAGCGUGAAGGAUGACUGCCCUAUGGGUUGUAAACUUCUUUUAUAUGGGGAUAAAACGUUCCACGUGUGGGAUUUUGUAUGUACCAUAUGAAUAAGGAUCGGCUAACUCCGUGCCAGCAGCCGCGGUAAUACGGAGGGUCCGAGCGUUAUCCGGAUUUGUUGGGUUUAAAGGGAGCGUAGGUGGAUUGUUAAGUCAGUUGUGAAAGUUUGCGGCUCAACCGUAAAAUUGCAGUUGAAACUGGCAGGCUUGAGUACAGUAGAGGUGGGUGGAAUUCGUGGUGUAGCGGUGAAAUGCGUAGAGAUGACGAAGAACUCCGAUUGCGAAGGCAGUUCACUGGACUGAAACUGACACUGAGGUUCGAAAGUGUGGGUAUCAAACAGGAUUAGAUACCCGUGUAGUC
rnacentral:rRNA from 1 species